AGGGACUUUGUCCAGUUGUCCACUGGCCCAUUUAGUAAUCAGCGCUUAUGGAGUAUUGUAAUACUGUGCCUAGAUUAGAGCCAGAAGGUAAGCAUAUAUGAUUAAUCAUAAUCCUUCCAGUGGAUAACAUGUAUUCCUAUCACUCAAUCCAUGUUCUUGGUGAAUAUAGCUAUGAAAGUCAUCUGAAUACAAUAAUCACUAUAAUAAAUCAGUGUAACUUUAUAGCAUUCACUGAUGGAAUUCUUACACAGUAUGUAUUGCUAGCCUCUCCAUUGAGGUGAGGAAGUGGGGCUUUGGAGACUGGUAGCUACUUGUUGGAGAAGCCCCACUGUUAACAUGAGCGUUCAUACCCAACUCUAGGCUCCCCCACUUACCCUGGUGCUCACUAGAGUAGCAGAAAAGUCUCGCUUGACCCUAAAUGUGGGGAACAAUUUAAAAUGCACUGUCUUAGAAUAAUUCUCUGAUUACUCCCUUAGGGUCAAUGCUAACAAGUGAAACACUGGCUUAAAAUAUGAAUCUGCUCUCUAUCAAAUGCUCGUGCAGUCUUUAAAGGAGAGGAGGCAGAGGAGACAUCGAAGAGGAGAGGAUCUGGGAAGGAGAGGAUCUGGGAGGAUGGAGUCUAGAUCACAAGGGAACAUACA
rnacentral:lncRNA from 1 species